GACGAACGCUGGCGGCGUGCUUAACACAUGCAAGUCGAACGGAAAUGCCCUGCUUUUGUGGGGUGCUCGAGUGGCGAACGGGUGAGUAACACGUGAGUAACCUGCCCUUGACUUUGGUAUAACUUCAGGAAACUGGGGCUAAUACCGGAUAGGAGCUCCUGCUGCAUGGUGGGGGUUGUAAAGUUUCGGCGGCUGGGGAUGGACUCGCGGCUUAUCAGCUUGUUGGUGGGGUAGUGGCUUACCAAGGCUUUGACGGGUAGCCGGCCUGAGAGUGUGACCGGGAACAUUGGGACUGAGAAACGGACAAGACUCCGACGGGAGGCAGCAGUGGGGAAUAUUGCACAAUGGGCGGAAGCAGGAUGCAGCAACGCCGCGUGCGGGAUGACGGCCGUAGGGUUGUAAACAGCUUUAGACUGUGACGAAGCGUGAGUGACGGUAAUGGGUAAAGAAGCACGGGCUAACUAAGUG
rnacentral:rRNA from 1 species